AGUGAACGCUGGCGGUAGGCCUAACACAUGCAAGUCGAACGGCAGCACAGUAAGAGCUUGCUCUUACGGGUGGCGAGUGGCGGACGGGUGAGGAAUACAUCGGAAUCUACUUUUUCGUGGGGGAUAACGUAGGGAAACUUACGCUAAUACCGCAUACGACCUACGGGUGAAAGCAGGGGAUCUUCGGACCUUGCGCGAUUGAAUGAGCCGAUGUCGGAUUAGCUAGUUGGCGGGGUAAAGGCCCACCAAGGCGACGAUCCGUAGCUGGUCUGAGAGGAUGAUCAGCCACACUGGAACUGAGACACGGUCCAGACUCCUACGGGAGGCAGCAGUGGGGAAUAUUGGACAAUGGGCGCAAGCCUGAUCCAGCCAUACCGCGCGGGUGAAGAAGGCCUUCGGGUUGUAAAGCCCUUUUGUUGGGAAAGAAAAGCAGCAGGUUAAUACCCCGCUGUUCUGAAGGUACCCAAAGAAUAAGCACCGGCUAACUUCGUG
rnacentral:rRNA from 1 species